rnacentral:sRNA from 1 species
UACCUAAACUAGCGAGAAAUCUCUGGCAUGGUUACAUAAAAUCCUACGCAAAUAGAAACGGCCACAUAAGCCGGCACUUAUUUGCGUAGGUUCGCUCUCGAAAGAGGGCGAGAUAAUUCCGAAAGGAGUUGUC